rnacentral:rRNA from 1 species
AUUGAACGCUAGCGGGAUGCUUUACACAUGCAAGUCGAACGGGUGGCGGACGGGUGGGUGAUAGAUCGGAACGUGCCUAGCAGCGGGGGAAAACUACGCGAAAGAGUGGCUAAUACUGCAUAAUAUUGGUGCGGCUGGUGUUGGAUUAGGUAGUCGGUGGGGUAUAGGGUCACCAAGGCAACAAUCCGUAGCUGGUUUGAGAGGCAGACCGGACACACUGGGACUGAGACACGGCCCAGACUCCUACGUGAGGCAGCAGUAGGGAAUUUUGGACAAUGGGGGAAACCCUGAUCCAGCCAUCCCGCGUGUAUGAGAAGGCCUUCGGGUUGUAAAGUACUUUUGGCAGAGAAGCGGUAUCUGCAGAAUAAGCACCGGCUAACUACGUGCCAGCAGCCGCGGUAAUUG